AUACGGAGAGUGCAAGCGUUAAUCGGAAUUACUGGGCGUAAAGCGCACGUAGGUGGCUUGGUAAGUCGGAUGUGAAAUCCCCGGGCUCAACCUGGGAAUUGCAUUCGAUACUGCCAUACUAGAGUCUAGCAGAGGGAUGCGGAAUUCCGGGUGUAGCGGUGAAAUGCGUAGAGAUCCGGAGGAACAUCAGUGGCGAAGGCGGCAUCCUGGGCUAAGACUGACACUGAGGUGCGAAAGCGUGGGGAGCAAACAGGAUUAGAAACCCCAGUAGUCC
rnacentral:rRNA from 1 species